rnacentral:rRNA from 1 species
GAUAAACGCUGGCGGCAUGCCUAAUACAUGCAAGUCGAACGAUCUCAACUUUCGGGUUGAAGAGAGUGGCGAACGGGUGAGUAACACGUAAGAAUUUGCCUUUAGGAGGGGGAUAACAACUGGAAACGGUUGCUAAUACCCCAUAUGCUUUCGAGUGAAAUGGUUUUUCCGCCUAAAGAGAAGCUUGCGGCUGAUUAGCUUGUUGGUGAGGUAAUGGCUCACCAAGGCGACGAUCAGUAUCUGGUUUGAGAGGACGAUCAGACACACUGGAACUGAGACACGGUCCAG